UCUUACCUUUCGUUUAAUCUCUCUCAUCUAUGGAUCAAGCUCGUAACCUAGGAUUUAGUUUUUUUUUUUUUUUGUUUUCUUAACAAAAUCUUACCAAUAGGAAAGUCUCAGCAUAGUAUCAGAGCACCGGACCAACGUCAUGUGUCCUGGCGACGAAAGGUAACGCUGAUUCGAAAGCCAAUCUUGUGGAAGCUCGUGGAUGGGAGAAUGGUUAAGUAGGAACUUAAUAAAUUCCAAUUCAGGACCCUGGUUACUGGGAAUUGAAAGAGAAUCUCCUAGAUGAAUCAUCACAAUCUGAAGUUGGCCAAAACAGUAGCUUGAUUGAUUUUGUGCUUGCGGAAAUUCAAAAGCUUGCCUUCAAUAUUUUCCGCUUCAAAUCUAAAUACAGCAAUAGGAUUCGUGUGGAUAUCAGCAAACAAGAUGGAAAGGCACGAAAGAUAAGAAAAUAUAUGGAAAAUGAUGUCACAAACUUACUGAGAUCUGAAGCUCUUGUAAGUUUGGAGAGAGUUCGAGAACUUUGAAAGUAGCCUCGGUCUGAUCAUGAUCGUUGAAGCACAUUUCAUCGAGAGAAAGAAUCUUCAAAUGGUUGGAUAUAGCAUAAGCAAUGUCUGAAAAAUCCCGCAUUAGCCAAUUCUAAGAUCAAAUUCAUAAAGAAUCUGAAGAGUAGGAUAAUGUACAAUACGUUUAAUAAAAGAUAAAGCAGUUGAAUAUAAGAGGAAAUACAGAAUACUGCAAUUGUUUAGGAAUCAUAUUUUUACCUUGAGGGAAAAAUCAGAAACUUAGAAGUAUUUUCAGAGCAGAUAGUUGACUGAGAUACUCUACCAAAUUGUAAAUCCUUCCUUGAUCUUGACAUUCAACGCUGGCAAACUCAUUGGAAGUGAUAACUAAGGUGACCUCUGCGAGGACUGAACAAUUUUUCAGAAUGAUAGCCCCAAUUUUCCUUGGAGAGCAACCUGUUUUAGCAUUGGGGCCUGAAUACUAAAACAAGCUGAAUUUUGCAGACCAUUAAGUAACAAUGUCUGUAGAACGGGGUGAUUGCAGAUAAAAUUUUCAAGCAAUUGUAUAUAAUUAAUCUUCCCAUAAAGUUUGAGACUGACAAGAUUUCGGAAACCUUUAGAAGCACAAGGAGGUUGUGGUAAUUCAUAUUGACGGAGUGGCAAAUGGGUCAGAUGUUUACAAGACCAUAUGCAGGCUGGUAACUUAUACAAGUUUGCAAAAUUGAUUGCGGUGCAAACAUACUCGAGUGAAUUCCCUGAUACCGUUUCUUGCAAGAUAAUGUAUCCAGGUCUGAAGAUCGGAGAACUUUUCUGGGAAGGUGUUGCAAAGCUGUAUAUUGCCACAAUGAGAUAGCAGAACAUUAAAAAUGUAGUAGAGACCUCUUGUAUAUGGAGAAUUUCGAAGGGCACGGUUUGAGACCACAUCAAAGAGCCGCUUCGAAAGGUCAACCGAUCUAUAUCUCCAUUUUCUAGACAAGAUGCUUGUUGUCACAGCCUCCUUUAUCUGUAGACGAACAAGGAUGUUGUCCAAAAUAGCCCAUGGCAGUUCACUAAGUCUAUCGAUUACUGCAAGCUCACCUUGAGCUGAUCUUGCUCGAUUUUUGCUCGAGUACUCAUAUUAUGUACACAAUGUAACUGGUAGAGAUAAGGCCACAUUUGACAUAAUCAAAGGGAAAAUUUUUCAA